rnacentral:rRNA from 1 species
UGGGGGAUAUUGCACAAUGGGCGAAAGCCUGAUGCAGCGACGCCGCGUGGGGGAUGAAGGCCUUCGGGUUGUAAACUUCUUUUGCUCUGAACAAGGCGCACCAUGGGGUGUGUUGAGUGUAGGGGUUGAUUAGCGCCGGCUACCUACGUGCCAGCAGCCGCGGUAAUACGUAGGGCGCGAGCGUUGUCCGGAAUUAUUGGGCGUAAAGGGCUUGUAGGUGGCUGGUUGCGUCGGUCGUGAAAGCUCAUGGCUUAACUGUGGGUUUGAGGUGGGUACGGGCGGGCUUGAGUGCAGUAGGGGAGGGUGGAAUUCCUGGUGUAGAGGUGGAAUGCGCAGAUAUCAGGAGGAAUACCGGUGGCGAAGGCGGGUCUCUGGGCUGUUACUGACACUGAGGAGCGAAAGCAUGGGGAGCGAACAGG